rnacentral:rRNA from 1 species
CCUACGGGAGGCAGCAGUGAGGAAUAUUGGUCAAUGGCCGGAAGGCUGAACCAGCCAUGCCGCGUGAAGGUCAGUGCCCUAUGGGCGUUAAACUUCUUUUGUGCGGGAGCAAUAAUGGUCACGUGUGGCCAGACGAGAGUACCGUACGAAUAAGCAUCGGCUAACUCCGUGCCAGCAGCCGCGGUAAUCCGGGGGAUGCAAGCGUUAUCCGGGAUUAUUGGGUUUAAAGGGUGCGUAGGCUGUGCGGUAAGUCAGCGGGGAAAUGCCCCCGCUCAACGGGGUGAAGUGCCAUUGAUACUGCCUUGCUGGAAUGCGGAUGCCGUGGGAGGAAUGUGUGGUGUAGCGGUGAAAUGCAUAGAUAUCACACAGAACACCGAUUGCGAAGGCAUCUCACGAAUCCGCGAUUGACGCUGAUGCACGAAAGCGUGGGUAUCAAACAGGAUUAGAUACCCUGGUAGUC